UACGUAGGCAGCGAGCGUUGUUCGGAGUUACUGGGCGUAAAGAGUGCGUAGGCGGUUUUCUAAGUUUGGUGUGAAAUCUCCCGGCUUAACUGGGAGGGUGCGCCGAAGACUGGAAGGCUUGAGUAUGGGAGAGGUAAGCGGAAUUCCUGGUGUAGCGGUGAAAUGCGUAGAUAUCAGGAGGAACACCAAUUGCGAAGGCAGCUCGCUGGGACGUUACUGACGCUGAGACGCGAAAGCGUGGGGAGCAAACAGG
rnacentral:rRNA from 1 species